UACAGAGGUGGCAAGCGUUGUUCGGAAUUACUGGGCGUAAAGGGCGCGUAGGCGGCUUGGUCAGUCCCGUGUGAAAUCCCUCGGCUCAACUGAGGAACUGCACGGGAAACUGCCUGGCUUGAGUUCGGGAGAGGGAAGCGGAAUUCCGGGUGUAGCGGUGAAAUGCGUAGAUAUUGGGAGGAACACCAGUGGCGAAGGCGGCUCACUGGACCGGAACUGACGCUGAGGCGCGAAAGCGUGGGGAGCAAACAGG
rnacentral:rRNA from 1 species